rnacentral:lncRNA from 12 species
UUUCACUGAAGGAAUGAGAACAAAUCAACUACAAACGUGCAGAGGAAAAGCACACAAAUUUUAGAUGUUAAUCUCCAAUUAUCAGUGACUGAAAGGGCAAAGGACCCUGCUCCAGUGCCACACUCAAUAUUCCUCACAGAUGCUCAGGAGGGAAGAGCAAUACAAGUGUACACUUUUUGUACACCAGAAGUCGGUCCAACUAAAACUUUAAAUCCAGAUACCUAAGAAGUUUGUGAAUUAAUUUCUCCUAUCCUUACUUGUGUAAUUUGACCCACUAGCAACGAG